rnacentral:misc_RNA from 1 species
AAGUCGUAACAAGGUUUCCCGCAUGAGGAGCGCCCAACUGCAGGCAUAUCACCUCUGAAGCCUUGAAUUCUGAGUCUACACCUGUAGGCGACAUCAGUCUGUUGCUGGGAAUUUCCGAGAGACAACCAGCAGCCACAUCACCGGAUGUGGUUCACAGAUCAAACACUGGUGGCCCCGUGGACCCUAUAACACCCCGUAACGCGGGCAGUAACGGGCCCCCGCGGGUUAAAAUAUGACCGGCCCCUGUCAAGAGAUUGAUGGGCCACUCGCGUUCCGUAGGUGAACCUGCGGAAGGAUCAU